rnacentral:rRNA from 1 species
UCAGGCCUAACACAUGCAAGUCGAACGAUAUAGUGGCAGACGGGUGAGUAACGCGUGGAAACGUGCCUUUCACUACGGAAUAGCUUUUGGAAACGAAAGGUAAUACCGUAUACGCCCUCCGGGGGAAAGAUUUAUCGGUGAAAGAUCGGUCCGCGUUAGAUUAGCUAGUUGGUGAGGUAAAGGCUCACCAAGGCGACGAUCUGUAGCUGGUCUGAGAGGAUGAUCAGCCACACUGGGACUGAGACACGGCCCAGACUCCUACGGGAGGCAGCAGUGGGGAAUAUUGCACAAUGGGCGCAAGCCUGAUGCAGCCAUGCCGCGUGAAUGAUGAAGGCCUUAGGGUUGUAAAAUUCUUUCGCCAGGGAUGAUAAUGACAGUACCUGGUAAAGAAGCCCCGGCUAACUUCGUGCCAGCAGCCGCGGUAAUACGAAGGGGGCUAGCGUUGUUCGGAAUUACUGGGCGUAAAGCGCACGUAGGCGGACUUUUAAGUCAGAUGUGAAAUCCCGAGGCUCAACCUCGGAACUGCAUUUGAAACUGGGAGUCUAGAGAUCAGGAGAGGUUAGCGGAAUACCGAGUGUAGAGGUGAAAUUCGUAGAUAUUCGGUGGAACACCAGUGGCGAAGGCGGCUAACUGGACUGAUACUGACGCUGAGGUGCGAAAGUGUGGGGAGCAAACAGGAUUAGAUACCCUGGUAGUCCAC